rnacentral:rRNA from 1 species
GUGCCAGCAGCCGCGGUAAUACAGAGACUGCAAGCGUUAUUCGGAUUCACUGGGCGUAAAGGGUGCGCAGGCGGCCGUGUGUGUGAGGCGUGAAAUCCCGGGGCUUAACCCCGGAAUUGCACCUCAAACUACAUGGCUAGAGCAUUGGAGAGGGUAGCGGAAUUCACGGUGUAGCAGUGAAAUGCGUAGAUAUCGUGAGGAACACCAGAGGCGAAGGCGGCUACCUGGACAAUUGCUGACGCUCAGGCACGAAAGCGUGGGGAGCAAAAGGGAUUAGAUACCCCUGUAGUCC